rnacentral:rRNA from 1 species
ACGUAUUUAUAUAGAGGAGAUAAGUCGUAACAUGGUAAGUGUACUGGAAAGUGCACUUGGACGAAC